AUUGAACGCUGGCGGCAGGCCUAACACAUGCAAGUCGAGCGGGGUUUUCGGACCUAGCGGCGGACGGGUGAGUAAUGCGUAGGAAGCUGCCCGAUAGAGGGGGAUACCAGUUGGAAACGACUGUUAAUACCGCAUAAUGUCUACGGACCAAAGUGUGGGACCUUCGGGCCACAUGCUAUCGGAUGCGCCUACGUGGGAUUAGCUAGUUGGUGAGGUAAUGGCUCACCAAGGCGACGAUCUCUAGCUGGUUUGAGAGUAUGAUCAGCCACACUGGAACUGAGACACGGUCCAGACUCCUACGGGAGGCAGCAGUGGGGAAUAUUGGACAAUGGGCGCAAGCCUGAUCCAGCCAUGCCGCGUGUGUGAAGAAGGCCUUCGGGUUGUAAAGCACUUUUAGCGAGGAGGAAGGGGUUGUAGUUAAUAGCUGCAACCUUUGACGUUACUCGCAGAAGAAGCACCGGCUAACUCUGUGCCAGCAGCCGCAGUAAGAC
rnacentral:rRNA from 1 species